rnacentral:rRNA from 1 species
AUUGAACGCUGGCGGCAGGACUAACACAUACAAGUCGAACGAGUGGCGGACGGGUGAGUAAAGACUGGGAAACUGCCUGAUGGAGGGGGAUAACUACUGGAAACGGUAGAUGAUACAGCAUAAAAUAGGAUGUGACCAGAUGGGAUUAGCUAGUAGGUGGGGUAAAGGCUCACCUAGGCGACGAACCCUAGCUGGUCUGAGAGGAUGACCAGCCACACUGGAACUGAGACACGGUCCAGACUCCUACGGGAGGCAGCAGUGGGGAAUAUUGCACAAUGGGCGCAAGCCUGAUGCAGCCAUGCCGCGUGUAUGAAGAAGGCCUUCGGGUUGUAAAGUACUUUCAGCGGGGAGGCGUUACCCGCAGAAGAAGCACCGGCUAACUCCGUGCCAGCAGCCGCGGUAAUAC